rnacentral:rRNA from 1 species
AAGCUCGUAGUUGAAUUUCGGAAUCAAUGGGUCGGUCAUGCCAAUGGUAUGUACUGGCCUCUUUGGUUCUCACCUUCUAAGGAACCAUAAUGUCAUUUAUUUGAUGUUGUGGGAAAUUAGGACUGCUACCUUGAAAAAAUUAGAGUGUUUAAAGCAGGCCAACGCUUGAAUACAUUAGCAUGGAAUAAUGAAAUAGGACAUCGCAUUCUAUUUUGUUGGUUUCUAGGAUCGAUGUAAUGAUUAAUAGGGAUAGUUGGG